UGACUGGCUGGCUGGGCCUUCACACCAUGAUCAAGAAGGCUGUUCACAAAGAGUGAGGCUAAUCCAUUGCACUCUGGGCCAUGCUGACCCCUGCGAAUUCCCCAAAUGUGGGAAUCUUGACUGCAUAAUUUAUGGAAGUGGGGAAAUGUACUCUCCCCU
ensembl:snRNA U1 U1 spliceosomal RNA